AGUGAACGCUGGCGGUAGGCCUAACACAUGCAAGUCGAACGGCAGCACAGUAAGAGCUUGCUCUUACGGGUGGCGAGUGGCGGACGGGUGAGGAAUACAUCGGAAUCUACUUUUUCGUGGGGGAUAACGUAGGGAAACUUACGCUAAUACCGCAUACGACCUACGGGUGAAAGCAGGGGAUCUUCGGACCUUGCGCGAUUGAAUGAGCCGAUGUCGGAUUAGCUAGUUGGCGGGGUAAAGGCCCACCAAGGCGACGAUCCGUAGCUGGUCUGAGAGGAUGAUGAGCCACACUGGACCUGAGACACGGUCCAGACUCCUACGGGAGGCAGCAGUGGGGAAUAUUGGACAAUGGGCGCAAGCCUGAUCCAGCCAUACCGCGUGGGUGAAGAAGGCCUUCGGGAUGUAAAGCCCUUUUGUUGGGAAAGAAAAGCAGCAGGUUAAUACCCCGCUGUUCUGACGGUACCCAAAGAAUAAGCACCGGCUAACUUCGUG
rnacentral:rRNA from 1 species